CACGUGUUUCACAGUUUUCGCUUAUGCCCGAUAGUUUUCGAGAAGGGUGUCUGGUCCACAGAAACGUGGCCACCCUGUAUAUACUGUGCAUAUACAGUAUAUAUACACUGUACAUUCAACGCUAUAGCGAAUAGACUCGGGUGGCCAGAUCUAUCCCAUUUAUUUUACUAAACGUGACGACUAGAUCCUAUAGUGAAUAAAAUGGGUAAAUAUGGAGCGCAAAACCAUUUUGUUGUCAUCAUUUUUCAUAAAUACGCGUAUUCGAUCCAGUGCGCAAAAUACUCCGAAUUUCGAUUUUCCUAAUGGUUUAAUGAAGGAGAAAAAUAGAUUUAAAGGCCUCCAGGCUCGGUUGUCUAAAAACGCGACAUUAUACAUGUAUUUUAUCAUAAAGAAAAUGUUGAGUUACGAAAACGGAUGGAGUGAAAAAAAUUUUGUUUUCUGACCAAGAUGGUAAUCAAACCGGAGCGUAAUUACACUGUUAAUACUAUCGUUACUAAAUCAACGUUACUUUCGGUUUUAUAGAGAUAGUUUAGCGUACGAAUGUAGUUAUUUUCUUUAUUAAUCGAGUUUCGUGCGGCUCGACAAAAGAUGGAGUGUAAUAGCCGACCGUUUACUAAUAAUGAAGUCGAGUACCUCAGAGAUUGUUAAAAACAAUUUGGAUGAUAUAUUUGAUUUUCUAUUCUUAACGGUCGUUUACACCCGCUCACCAUAGAUUUUGUUUGUUCCAAAACUUUAAUCGUUCCCGCUCUCCUAGUCUACUUAAUAUUUCGUGUCUGGAAAGCGUUGUUCCGUCAAAUUCCCAUCUUAAAGUACUAUUUUUGCAUUUUUACGGCCUUUCCCAUCGGGGAAAUUACUAAGGGCCGGGGGCCAGUUCCAACCGGGGAUAGGGGCAGGAGGUUGAAAAAAGGGGGUGGCCGGGCCGGGACCCAAACCCCCAAAAAAACUUUUCGGGAGAUGCCGGACCCUGGACGCCAAUCCGAUUCUUCCCGCGUGGCAGGCCCACGCCUGGUCGUUCGACUCGCCGGCCGCCACCCUACUCUAACUACAAUCGAGUCUCUGUAAUCCGAUACUCGGCCAACACCGCGCCACCCUCGAAAUUUUCGUGUCUCGACUUGUCGAUGAGAGACUGAUGUAAAUAAUGGCCAUUGGUUGGUCGUGCACGCGCGAUAGUCGGACUAAUUCUUAAGCUCGGUACACUGUUUACUGUAAAAGAGUGUUUUUUUUUUUUUUUUUGCUAUAUCGGUGUAUAAUGCCCCAAAUCGGAAAAAGCGAAAAGAUGGGGAUAAAAUUGAGGGAUUUGUGUAAGAUUUCAACGGCCAGAACGGUGACGGGAAAGUCUGAAUAAACUGAUUGUGUCGAUUCGGGUAAUCGCAUUUUUUCGUCGAUCGUCCGAUAACCGGACAUAUUUGUGAAAUCCGACUAGAGAGACUCUACCCUAUAUAUUCCCAUUUAACGUCACCUAUUUCUGAAGUUACGAUCUCUCUAUUCGCUAGUGCCAGUUUCCACGGUUGACACGGAUCUAACAACAGCCACAUCUGUUCCAGUGGCGGGAUAUUUAAACGACGAUUUAAGCGAGUCGGGAUUUUGUAGCAGCCGAAUCCCCCGAUCGAUUUAGUUAGGAUAUUUAUAUCACAGCCAUUGAGAGAAUGUAUGGUCUCGACUUUCAUAAUUCGUGCCGAUACCUUACUAAUAAAAAAAUAAAAUGGCCAUUUAGUGAUACAUUCGAUAGUAAAUACCAAAGCUUGGUAUAGGUAAUCGUCGACUCUCGACCAUUAGCUACAUCAAGCUUUGGUAGCCCCACCAGUCGAUAUAGAUGACGCUUUUACCCAGACUCUCUAAUUGACAAGGAAUCCAAGGUAGUCGUAAUUCGUUUAGAAAGAAUGAUCGGGAAAUCUAUUUUUCAUGUACGGACAAAUUAUGUCCGAUUAGUGUAUGGCAGGGUUUUAUCAAACCAAAUUGAAAAUAAUAAUUUAUAAUAUUUCUUCACCUAUGAAAGUUAUAACUUCUAUCACCCCAUCUUCGCUCACUCUUACAUUCAUACGCUACACGAUACAGGGUGGAAAAAAAGUCUGUACCCCUCCAAGUGGCUCGGUGGCUGUCGUGGGUUUCGGGGGUCUGUU
rnacentral:lncRNA from 1 species